UGGGGAAUAUUGCACAAUGGGCGAAAGCCUGAUGCAGCAACGCCGCGUGAGUGAUGAAGGCCUUCGGGUUGUAAAGCUCUGUCUUUUGGGACGAUAAUGACGGUACCAAAGGAGGAAGCCACGGCUAACUACGUGCCAGCAGCCGCGGUAAUACGUAGGUGGCAAGCGUUGUCCGGAUUUACUGGGCGUAAAGGAUGCGUAGGCGGAUUUUUAAGUGAGAUGUGAAAACCCUAAGCUUAACUUGGGGACUGCAUUUCAUACUGGAAAUCUAGAGUGCGGGAGAGGAGAAUGGAAUUCCUAGUGUAGCGGUGAAAUGCGUAGAGAUUAGGAAGAACACCAGUGGCGAAGGCGAUUCUCUGGACCGUAACUGACGCUGAGGCAUGAAAGCGUGGGUAACAAACAGGAUUAGAUACCCUGGUAGUCCACGCCGUAAACGAUGAGUACUAGGUGUAGGAGGUAUCGACCCCUUCUGUGCCGCAGUUAACACAAUAAGUACUCCGCCUGGGAAGUACGAUCGCAAGAUUAAAACUUAAAGGAAUUGACGGGGUCAUAGCUGUUUCCU
rnacentral:rRNA from 1 species